GCAGCGGUCAUCGUGGUCAUAGGUGCAGCGGUUGUAUUAGUUGUAGGCGCAGCGGUCAUCGUGGUCAUAGGUGCAGCGGUUGUAUUAGUUGUAGGCGCAGCGGUCAUCGUGGUCAUAGGUGCAGCGGUUGUAUUAGUUGUAGGCGCAGCGGUCAUCGUGGUCAUAGGUGCAGUGGUUGUAUUAGUUGUAGGCGCAGCGGUCAUCGUGGUCAUAGGUGCAGAGGUUGUAUUAGUUGUAGGCGCAGCGGUCAUCGUGGUCAUAGG